CGAGUGGCGGACGGGUGAGUAACGCGUGGGUAACCUGCCUUACACAGGGGGAUAACACCUGGAAACAGGUGCUAAUACCGCAUAAGCGCACAGGGCCGCAUGGCCCGGUGUGAAAAGCUCCGGUGGUGUAAGAUGGACCCGCGUCUGAUUAGCUUGUUGGCGGGGUAGAGGCCCACCAAGGCGACGAUCAGUAGCCGGCCUGAGAGGGUGGACGGCCACAUUGGGACUGAGACACGGCCCAAACUCCUACGGAAGGCAGCAG
rnacentral:rRNA from 1 species